rnacentral:rRNA from 1 species
AGAGUUUGAUCAUGGCUCAGAUUGAACGCUGGCGGCAGGCCUAACACAUGCAAGUCGAACGGUAACAGAAAGCAGCUUGCUGCUUUGCUGACGAGUGGCGGACGGGUGAGUAAUGUCUGGGAAACUGCCUGAUGGAGGGGGAUAACUACUGGAAACGGUAGCUAAUACCGCAUAACGUCGCAAGACCAAAGAGGGGGACCUUCGGGCCUCUUGCCAUCGGAUGUGCCCAGAUGGGAUUAGCUUGUUGGUGGGGUAACGGCUCACCAAGGCGACGAUCCCUAGCUGGUCUGAGAGGAUGACCAGCCACACUGGAACUGAGACACGGUCCAGACUCCUACGGGAGGCAGCAG